UACAGAGGUGGCAAGCGUUGUUCGGAAUUACUGGGCGUAAAGGGCGCGUAGGCGGUCUUGUCAGUCCCUUGUGAAAUCCCCCGGCUCAACUGGGGAACUGCACGGGAAACAGCAGGGCUUGAGUUCGGGAGAGGGAAGCGGAAUUCCGGGUGUAGCGGUGAAAUGCAUAGAUAUCCGGAGGAACACCGGUGGCGAAGGCGGCUUCCUGGACCGAUACUGACGCUGAGGCGCGAAAGCUAGGGGAGCAAACGGG
rnacentral:rRNA from 1 species